UUUAUUACUAUUGUCAUCUUUUUCGUUGCAUUGUAUUUGCAUUCAUGCCAUCUGUUCAUCCAUCAGCGCAUACACCGAAGCCACCAUGCUGUUUUCCCGCCAGUCCACCUUGGACGAUUUGGACGACAUGCCUCAGAAUAUUCCCAAAACCAGCGAACGCGCUCGACCCAAACUGCGCAAAAUGUACGGCCUCGACAUGUCCAACUCCUCUGCGGACAGCGGAAGCAGCGUCAUCUCCAGUGAGGCUACUCAGUGCGUCACGCUGUUUUCUCGGCAAGGAACCAACGACACUAUCGACGAGGCUGAAGACGAGCGAGAACAGCUGGAGCACAAGCAGAAAACAGAAGAAGCAGAACUCAGAGACAAACCUGAAGAAGAGCAGGAAGUGGAAAUAAGCGAUCAGGGGAAACAGGAAGUGUUACCGGUGAGCCAUCUGGUGACACAGGAAGUGAAAGAGGAUGUACUACCUGUGAGCGAUCAGCUGACUGGGGAAGUGACUGAGGAAGUUGAAGAGGAGGUGGAAGUAGUUAAGGAAAUGGAAGAGGAAGUAGAAAAGGAAAUUGGAGCAAAGGUGGAAAAGGAAGUAGAAGCGGAAAAGGAAGAGGAAGCGGAAAAGGAAGUGGGUGAGGAAGUGCAAUGGGACUUGGUGGAUCCAGAGGAAGCAGAGGAGUGUGUAAGUGAUGGGGACGGUGGUGAGCAGAUGCAGCAGGAUGAAGGUGAAUGGUCGGGAGUGGAGAACGUGGUGAGCGGUCCGCUGUUCACACCAGACACUGACGCCCCCAACACGUCUGACGCUGACGUGCCGCCCAGCUACAGUAAAGCCGUGAGCUUCGACCGGCUGUCUGUGAGCUCGGACGACAGUGACAGCGACAAACGGCUGAUGCUAAUGACGCCUGACAGCAAAUCUGACCUGGACGACCCUCUGCUGCCCUCCAUGACCACCGACAUGACCGCCAGCGAACUGCUGCUCAACAAAAUGUUCUACGACGAGAUGCUGGACAGCUCAGAUCGCUUCUAUAAGUCUCAGCCGCUGGGUCUCCAGUUGUGUUACGCUCUCUACAACCUGCUGGUGGCUCACUCAGAAAUGGUGUGUUAUCUGGUCAUCAUCCUCAACCACAUGAUCUCCGCCUCCAUGGCCACGCUGGUGCUGCCCAUCCUCAUCUUCCUGUGGGCCAUGCUGUCCGUUCCGCGACCCAGCAAGAGGUUCUGGAUGACCGCCAUCGUCUACACUGAGGUCAGAAAUGCUCUUGGGGAAAUCAGGGUGCGAAUUAAAGGGUGGUUUGGGAGGGAUUGACCCCCCUUUACCUAAUGAUUGAUCCCCCCCUGAAGGAUGUCAAAACAACAUGUAUGGGGUGGGGUGAAUUUAAGCUACAUUGCAUCUACAUGCCAACUAAUUCUCAUUAGAUUAUCAGUAGACUGUUAGGUUAGGGUUAGCUUUAAUGCACUUUUUAAAUAAAUAAAUAAAAAACAAAGCAGCUGCUUGCCAUCACGACAGCAAUAAGAUCCGGAAUCUGGGGCUGUUGCAUGGCGCUGCUGUGGCAAUGGGACGUUCUAUUGAGUGUUGCUUCUAGGUCAUUCUAAGCUCUUUGCCCGGAUGUUGCCAGAAACUACAGUGAAACCCUUAAAAAAAGGCACUUGAGUAAGGGUGACAGACAGGGCUUUACAUUAACACCCGCCAACCCGCCAAAUGCGGGUAGAUUUCAGCUCUGGCUUGUUAGACAGACACCUCCACUAACCACUUUGGCUGGUUGGAAAUCUCCAGGGUUCGACAAUAAGCAUGGCCCAAUAUUCGGGCAAAUGUGAUCUUAGAAUCAAGAAGCAGCAGUGAAGUGGAGAAUAAAUAGUUGAGUUUUUAGUCGUUUACAUUUAAAUUUAGCCAUUUAGCAGACAAUUUUAUCCAAAGCGACUUACAAAUGAGGACGAGGAAGCAACUUACACAACUAUAAGAGCAACAAUGAAUAAGUGCUGUAGGCAAGUUUCAGGUCUGUAAAGUCUAAGGCCCCGUUUACACUAGUGCGUUUUAGUUUUAAAACGGCGUUUUAGAAUGAAAACGAUCCGCGUCCACACUCACGUUUUACCCAGCGUUUCUGAACAGCUCUCCGUCCACACCAAAACGCUGAAAACGCACAUCACGUGACCACACACACACACUUUGGCAAUCGCUGGAGCCCAUCUACCCAGAUGAGAGCUCUGCUAGUCGGACUUCUCAUCAAGCAUCUCCCGCUGGAUCUAAUCUCACUAUAUUUAUUAAUCGGGAUAUUUCAUUCAUCUUGUUGUCUUUAUCUUACGACAUAUUCCCUGACUUUGGUCAUUGGAAUCUAUUACUUGUUCUCAGGUAACGUGUUUUGGCUGAGCGCAAAGAUAAGUUAAUGAUUAAUGUAAGCACGUAGCCUACAUUCUGUAUAUUGACUGAUCGCUUGCCUUUAUUUCCUAUAAUGUAUAAACUUAUUGUAUGUUAUACUUUUAUAAUGGCCAUUAUCGAUUAUUAAAACUGAUAUUCAGCAAAAGAGAGGGUAUGUUUCGUAUUUUCACUGAAAUUGAAAGAAGGCAGUUGUUAAAGGCUCCGUUUUUUUAUAAAUAUGCACACAGUGAAGAUGACGCUCAUGCAGCACGGCGCCUCAACAUUUCUGCUGUCUGUUUAGUUGUUAAUAUUAAAAUAAAAAUAGGCAGUUCCUUAAAUCAAGUUUACAUUUUAUUGUUGAGAAAGUGAAACAACGUAGCCAAGGUGAUGUGAAUGAAGUUAUAAAGUACACGAUUCCCUGUGAAGAUUUACCCGUGUCCUCGGUAUGUUUUCCAUAUCAAACUGAGAAGAAGAGAUGCAGCCUUGAUCAAACUUGCGAUGUCUGAACUUACACGGAGAAGAUUCAGGACUGAACUGUGUGUUACGCUACUUAAUAUUGAGGAAAAGCCCCAAUCAGAGAGGCGAACGUUUGCAGCCCCGCCUCCGUUUUCAGAUGUCUCCGUCUUUCCCCAUCCACACUGAGACGGAGCAGCUGCGUUUCAGAAUGAAAACGGCCUCUCCAGCGUUUUCGAAACGCUCCGUUUUCGGCGCUCGAGAACUCCGGCGUAGUGUGGACGGAUGGCGUAACCGUAGCAAAACUUAUGCGUUUUCAAACUAAAACGCACUAGUGUAAACGGGGCCUAAGAAGGAAAGCAUUGGUAAUUUUUUUAUUUUUUUUUAUUUUUUGGAGUACAGUUAGUGGUAUAUCCAGAGAGGCAAUUGCAGAUUAGGAAGAAAGUAAGUAAAUACCGAAAAAGAAAGUAAAUACCGAACGAGAGGAUGAUCACAUCACAUCACCUAUGCGCGCGACUGUAAAAAAGCGCACACGCUCCCAUUUACUUGCACAAACAACAAUGCCUAAAGGAAGCGCAACUGGUUCCCUUUAAAAUAGACUGGACA
ensembl:lincRNA